CCCUAGAGAAAAUUAAACUUGGAGUAUAACAUCUGGUUAAGAUUGCGAAUUCUUCAGUAUUAGAAACUUUUAAGAACCUGUUAGACAAACAUCUGUCAAAGUCAACGUACUUACAAGUUGAUCCUGCCUUUGGGCAGGGAAUGGACUGGAUGAUCUCCUGCAGCCCCUCCCAGUACAUUUUUUAUGAUUCUUUCUCUCUUUCUCUCUCUCUCUCUCUCUCUUUCUUCUCUCCGUUUCAUUAUCAUGCUCUCCAGAUUCUCAACCUUCCUUCUUGCACCUGAUUUUAACAAGAGCAAUAUGUAGAACUUGUGGAGGCUUUCCACAGUUUAACCUUCUCACUGAUUUUUACUUUGCAAGACAGCGAUAUCACACAAACAAGUUCACACCAUUCGUUUUAAAAUGUUACAGUUUUCUUUGGUUGUUAUGUAUAUAUUUCAAGUGAAGAAAAUAUCAGUGGUUACUUACAAUAUGGGCUGUAAGUAAAUUAUCAGGGGUGCUUCAAACUCCCAAAUUCUCAGUUCCUGCUUCUGUAGCAAGAAUGAAAAGAGAGAAGAGGUAAAUGCUUAUGAAUACUCUUGUUCUCAAGCUAUGACCAAUGGAAGAACAUCUAAAAAUUCUACUGCCUCCCACUAUCUGGCUUUCCUCUCACUUUGGCCUCUACCUCUAUGUCAUGUAGGGACCAAAGGAAACACAGGCCACUGCUUAGCCUGCAGUGUUCACCACCCCUUACACUAACUGCAGCUGUUGCUGCGGUUAGAUAUUCCUUGUGGUGAUGUUGUGGUAAGGGCUAUAGUGGGCAGGAGUUCUCUUACCCCUGCUGCCCACCACACUGUGAUGAGUAUCACAGACAGACAGACAGUCAUGGCCAGCACUGAGAAGAGCAGCUUUCCUUCUGCCUCUUGUGCUACGCUCACAGAGCCCAGCAAGGCCAAGAGAUGGAGCAAGAGAUCAUCUAGCUAAUGGCAUCCAGGCCCUGAUGUGGGGAAAGGAAGCUGGUAUAGCUGUCUGUAAAGCAGCUAUUGACUGAUGGCCACAAUGCCGUAUAAAUGCAAUGUUCUUGUUUUUCUGCUGUACCAUGUGCUUAUAAAAGACCUAUUUUUUCACCAUGAGAACCAGCACAAAAAGAGCCCAGUAUCACAUAGAACUAAUCUCCAGAGACAUUUUCAAUUUCUUACAUUUUAUAUUCACUUUUUGGAGGGCCAGGCAAAGGGAAUAUUGAGUAAGUAUUUUUGAAGGCAUGCUGUGAGCUGCUUCGCAUUUAAGGCUUUGUUGCGAUUUUCAAUUAAAACAGAACAAACCUUUCAGGAUGAAAACAAACAUGCCUCUUAAUUGACACGGUAGCAUUAAACUCAAAUACAUUGCAAAAGCCAGAGGGAUGUUUGCUAAGUAUUCCCUAGCAAGUACUGUGGUGCAUUAUUUUCUAAUUCACUGCUAUGCUGACAGCUCAGUUUUCAAAUUAUCUAAGUAAUAUCAUUAACAUUUCUGUCACUUCUGCCUUAGCUUUAUUAAAAAAUGAAUUGCAUUGUCUCCUUUAGAAAGACCAAGAAUAAUAAAAUGCAUAUUCCUAGGCCUCCGUCUUUUCUAUGGAUAUUUGGUUAAACAAUCUAAUCAUGUCAGAAUUUCCUAACAAAGCAAUGCAAGUUACAUCAUAUGCCUGUCAAGUGUCUCAUUAGUGCUCCAUCCACUGCUAUCUGUAGUAAAAAACAGCUUCUGUGCUACAUUUUUGUCCACUAUUGGUUUUCAUUUCCUGCAGAAAUCAGGUCGUCCAACGCAUAAGCAGGAUAAGGCUGCUAGCCGAUUCAGAAAGCAAGCAAAGCUCAUGUCCACCAGGGGGAGAAAAAUGCCACGGAGGGCUUGUGCCAGGCUUAGCAAUAGCAGGUUAAAGACUUUCCGUAAGACUUCUCAGAGACUUAGAUCCACCUAUUGAUAUGGUAGUCAGAAUGAAUUCGUUUUGAGAAAACUACGAAUUUUAGGUUGUUUUUUUUUUUCUAAAAUACAUUGAAAAUGUUGUAAAUUUGUACU
ensembl:lncRNA